rnacentral:lncRNA from 1 species
CAGGAGAAGAAGCCAACAGAAGAUAGGUCUGUGUAUGUGGGUGAAUGAUCCAUGCUUCAACAGCUUGAACUCUUCAGCCUUGCUUGAAGGGGGAGGCCACAUGGAUCACAAGCUCUGAAUAUUGUAAGAUACCUUUGUGCAAAAGGAAUCACACCAUCACUGACAGUUAUCCCCAACUUUGUUCUCCAGCAUAGCAAAACUAAGUCGAAUUGCAUAAAACUGUGCUUCAAUUGAUGUAGAAAACUUUGCUGAACCACAUAUAACCAUGGAGUUUCAGUUUCAGUUGUUAUGCCUUACAAGAGGAGUUAUUUUGCAGUGACAAAGCUUCACUUCUGAUGUCCUGACACAUCGUAGGACUUUGAGGGCCAUAAGAAGUAAUAAAGAAAGAUGUGUAUCUGAAAGACCUCUUAGAGGACUGGGAAACUAUCAGGAAUGAAGAUUAUUGGCUGCAGAUGAUAACUCUGGAAAAAGAAGCAUAACAGUGAAAAGGAAUACACCAUGACUUGAAAGCCUAAGAAGUUCAUCAAACAGAAAAUAAGGACAGCUGUGGGUGAGGCGCCUUUCUUUCAACAUGACAGAUGUUCAAGACAAAAAAUGUCUGCCAGGGCAACAAAACUACUCAAUCUGGAAUAAGAAAGGUCUUGAGCUUCCUAUGCAGUCACCCAAGAGGAAAGUGGCAGGUUACAGCUCCAAAACACACCCAGGAGUGAUGGGAUACACUGACUCUUGGUUCUGCAUACAUCUUUUCUGGUGUGGAGCCUCUGCCUGGUGAUGCAGACAGCACGCCAUGGCUGCCAUGUCUAUCGUACCCUUCACGUUGUAGACAUUUUACAAAGUAAAAAAAAAAAAAAAAAAAAAAAAAAAAAAAAAAAAAUUUCAGUGGGAGAGAAGGGUCUUGAAAAAUGAGUGCUUUUUUUCUAUUCAAAAGCAUGUAUUGGGCUAGAUGUCACCUUAAUUAGAGCCAGGAUGGAAUGUUGGGAUGUAGCAGUGAACCAGAGAAGUUGAAUUAUUAACUAAGUAUUUCCUGUUUGAUAGAAUUUUAGUUUUUGUAUAAAGUUAUGGUGAUUGUAAAAACCCAGUGCAUAAGGUUUAUUUCCAGUGUAUCGAACAUACUCAAGUUUAAUAUUUGAUAUUAUUAUACAGCUUAUGUUUUUCCCUUCAUAAAGUUCAUUAUGAGUCUUGGAACACAAUCCCUAAUUACAAUAUUUUCUGUGGGGAAAUUCGAAUGACUUUUGAGCUUUAUACUUUAUGACAGAGUUUGCAGGUACAUAUGAUAGGAAAAGGAAAACUCUGCUUCCAUAAUUUCUGUUUCUGAGAGCCUUUGGUGUACACAUUUGUUUUAGAGGUUUUCUUUGUUUUAUACAUCUCAAGUUUUCUGGACCUGAUGGUGUACUCUAACAUGACUUCAAAGAAGACAACAAAUAUUGAUGAACAGAUUCUCAUGGCAGCACAAUUUAUGACAGAUAAAAACAGGAAGCAGUUCAGAUUUUAAGCAAAAGGUGAAGGAUCAAAUAAAUCAAUACACAUUCUAGUGACUAACA